rnacentral:rRNA from 1 species
GAUCUGGCUCAGGAUGAACGCUAGCGACAGGCUUAACACAUGCAAGUCGAGGGGCAGCACGGGAGUAGCAAUACAACUGGUGGCGACCGGCGCACGGGUGAGUAACGCGUAUGCAACCUACCUAUCAGAGGGGAAUAACCCGGCGAAAGUCGGACUAAUACCGCAUAAAACAGGGGCACCGCAUGGUGAUAUUUGUUAAAGAAAUUCGCUGAUAGAUGGGCAUGCGUUCCAUUAGGUAGUUGGUGAGGUAACGGCUCACCAAGCCGACGAUGGAUAGGGGAACUGAGAGGUUGGUCCCCCACACUGGUACUGAGACACGGACCAGACUCCUACGGGAGGCAGCAGUGAGGAAUAUUGGUCAAUGGGCGAGAGCCUGAACCAGCCAAGUCGCGUGAAAGGAAGAAGGAUCUAUGGUUCGUAAACUUCUUUUGCAGGGGAAUAAAGUGCAGGACGUGUCCUGUUCUGUAUGUACCCUGAGAAUAAGGAUCGGCUAACUCCGUGCCAGCAGCGGC